AUUGAACGCUGGCGGCAUGCCUUACACAUGCAAGUCGAACGGCAUCGCGGGAAAGCUUGCUUUCCUGGCGGCGAGUGGCGAACGGGUGAGUAACACAUCGGAACGUACCGGCUAGUGGGGGAUAACCCGUCGAAAGACGGGCUAAUACCGCAUACGCUCUUCGGAGGAAAGCAGGGGACCUUUGGGCCUUGCGCUAGCCGAGCGGCCGAUGUCCGAUUAGCUAGUUGGUGGGGUAAAGGCCUACCAAGGCGACGAUCGGUAGCGGGUCUGAGAGGACGAUCCGCCACACUGGGACUGAGACACGGCCCAGACGCCUACGGGAGGCAGCAGUGGGGAAUCUUGGACAAUGGGGGCAACCCUGAUCCAGCAAUGCCGCGUGUGUGAAGAAGGCCUUCGGGUUGUAAAGCCCUUUCGGCAGGGAAGAAAUCGGCGGGGCGAAUAACCCUGCUGGAUGACGGUACCUGCAGAAGAAGCACCGGCUAACUACGUG
rnacentral:rRNA from 1 species